rnacentral:rRNA from 1 species
AUACGGAGGGUGCAAGCGUUACUCGGAAUCACUGGGCGUAAAGCGCGCGCAGGCGGUUUUUUAAGUUGGAUGUGAAAUCCUAUAGCUUAACUAUAGAACUGCAUCCAAAACUAUUAGACUAGAGUCUGGGAGAGGUAAGUGGAAUUAGUUGUGUAGGGGUAAAAUCCGUAGAGAUAACUAGGAAUACCAAAAGCGAAGGCAACUUACUGGAACAGUACUGACGCUGAGGCGCGAAAGCGUGGGGAGCAAACAGGAUUAGAUACCCUUGUAGUCC